UAUUAUGUGGUUCAGAGACUGGAACGAAUAUCAAAUGGUGUUGGAUGAACAUUUGAGCGAUCUUGAGGUAUUUUAAAAUGUAUAAUAAUCCUCCCUGUGCAUCAAGAUAAUCUAAUAGUAGAUAAUAAUCAAAGUAAUAAAAUGUCACAUUCCAAAAUUGAAGGUUUUUUGUUUCCUUAUUUUAGAAUGCUUCAGAGACACAAAAAAUACUGUUACCUAGGAUUAUUGGAGCUGAUAGAAACCCAGAGAAAGGCUGUCAUUUCAUUCUUUGGGUAUUUGACAUCCCGAAGAAAGAAAUUAGGGUGUAUGACAACAGUAGUCAUAACCUUACCAUUUCAAAGCCAGACAUGCAAAUUCUAAGAAAUGCAUUUAGAAAUCUUGGCUCCUUGAAUGGCUGGACUACAUCCUAUCCACACCAAUGGCAUAGGGAUGAUGGAAGCAAUUGUGGUGUUUUUGUUUGCACAGUAGCGGAGAUGGAAGCCAAAAAUAUUCAAAUGAGUCAUGAAAUGCUACACCCUGGACAACUGAGACAUCUUCGGCUUUAUCAUGCCUCAUGCAUGGUAAAAAUACACAAUCUGAGGCCGUUGAAGCAACAAAGAGUGUGGCACAGAACAACUGUAUGGCUCAGGAAGCUAGAGUGUUCCUUUUUCAAAAAUUUCAUUCCAA